rnacentral:lncRNA from 1 species
CUCACGGCAACGCCGGAUCGUUAACCCACUGAGCAAGGGCAGGGACCGAACCCGCAACCUCAUGGUUCCUAGUCGGAUCCGUUAACCACUGCGCCACGACGGGAACUCCAGGAAUUCUUUUUUAAUUAAUUAAUUUUUUGGUCUUUUUGCCUUUUCUAGGGCCACACUUGUGGCAUAUGGAGGUUCCCAGGCUAGGGGUCCAAUUGGAGCUGUAGCCACCAGCCUACACCAGAGCCGCAGCAACACCAGAUCCAAGCUGCGACUGCGAACUACACCGCAGUUCAUGGCAAUGCUAGAUCCUUAACCCACUGAACAAGGCCAGGGAUUGAACCCACGACCUUAUGGUUCCUAGUCAGAUUUGUUAACUGCUGAGCCAUGAUAGGAACUCCAGAAUUUGUUUUUAAGAGUCUAGACUGUUUCCUUAUUAAGAAAAGGUGCUUUUUUGGGUGGCGGGGAGGGGGCUCCUCUUUAGGGCUGCACCUGUGACAUAUGGACGUUCCUAGGAUAGGAGUUGAAUCCAAGCUAUAGCUGCCAGCCUACACCACAGGCACAGCAAUGCCAGAUCCCAGCUGCAUCUAUGACCUACAUCAUAGCUCACAGCAAUGCCGGAUGCUUAACCCACUGAGCAAGGCCAGGGAUCUAACUGGUGUCUUCGUGGAUAGUAGUCGAGGUUUUUACUGGUGGGCCACCAUGGGAACUCCAAAAAGGUGAAUUUUAAAGACUUCUUUGGUGCUUGUUUGGUUUAAGUAGAAUUUUGUAUAGAAUUCUUUCAGCAUAUUUAUUUGUGUGUAGAACUAGCUUGUAUUUUCUUUCCCCGUCAACAUUACUGCCAAUUAUCUGGCCAUUAGAAUUGAAUUACAGAAUAGCCUAAUGGCUGGUGCAAGCUUUGAAUUAGCCUGAGUAAGCUUAUAUAAUGAAACAUCCCUGUUCCCCAUAGUGUUCUAAAGGCCUGUCUAUGGGUCUUCUCAGUUUUUCUUGUAAAUUCCUCUGCUACUUUUGCAACAAAUGCAAAUUCUGUAGUUCUUUUCCUUCUGAUUUGCCUCUGAAUUAAUUUACAUUUGCCUUUCAUAGGUUUUGAAUCAAAACGGUCUUGUCUUCAACCAGAAGAGAUUAUUCAAGUUCAGUUUGGAAUUAAGGUAUUUUUUUUUAAUUAUCUUCUGAUAUGCAUCUGUGAUGUAUUUAUUAUUUAUACAUAAAAUUUAUCCUUUUAACUAUAUUUAAAUGUACAGUUUGGAGUUCCCUUGUGGCACAGUGGGUUAAGAAUCCAGCAUUAUCACUGCUGUGACUUGGAUUGCUGCUGUGGUGUGGGUUCAGUUCCUGGCCUGGGAGCUUCCACAUGCCACAUGCGAGGCCAAAAAAUAAAAUUAAAAAAAUGUACAAUUCACUGGCAUUAAGUAUACUCACAUUGUUUUGCAACCAUUACCACUAUCUAUUUCCAGAACUUUUUCAUCAUCCCAAACAAACUCGGUACUCAUUAAUCAGUAACCCCGCACCCUGCUGACUCGCCCAAUUCCUAGUAACUUCUGUUCCGCUUUCUUUUUUUUUUUUUUUUUUUUUUUUUUUUUUUGUCUUUUUAGGGUCACACCAGGAGCAUAUGGAGGCUCCCGGGCUAGGGGUUGAAUUGGAGCUGUAGCUGCCAGCCUAUACCACAGCCACAGCAACGCCAGAUCUCAGCCGCAUCUGCGACCUACACCACAGCUCAUGGCAAUGCCGGAUCCUUAACCCACUGAGCGAGGCCAGGGAUUGAACCCACAGGAGACCUCAUGGUUCCUAGUCGGAUUCCUUUCACUGAGCUAUGACAGGAACUCCUCUGUUCCACUUUAUAUUUCUGAAUUUGCCUGGUUUGGGUACUUAGUGUAAGUGGAAUUACACAAUAUAUGUUCUUUUUUGUCUGGUUUACUUUUUUUUUUGCUUUUUAGGGCUGCACCCUUGGCAUACAGAAGUUCCCAGGCUAGGGAUCGAAUCAAAGCUACAGCUCCUGGCCUGCACCACAGCCACACGGGAUCCAAGCCGCAUCUGCGACAUACACCACAAGUCACAGCAGUGGUGGAUCCCAACCCACUGAGUGAGGCCAGGGAUAGAACCUCCAUCCUUAUGCAUAUUAGUUGGAUUCAUUUCCUCUGCGCCACAAUGGGAACUCCUUGUCUGAUUUACUUUUGCAAAUACUUGCAGUUUAACAAGUGGCAGGUUUAAUAGCACUGAACUGAUAGUGUUUUUUACAUGCUUGCACUUGGUAAUCAUGGUAUAUAGUACAUAUUAUUUCACAUGGUUUACAAAAUUUUUAGGUUUGUUUUGCUUUAUGGGGGGUUUUUUGCUUUCUAGGGUUGUGUCCUUGGCACAUGGAAGUCCCCAGGCUAGGGGUCAAAUCAAAUCGGACCUGCAGCUGCCGGCCUACACCACAGCAAUAGCAGUGCCGGAUCUGAGCUGUGUCUGGGACCUACACCACAGCUGAUGGCAAUGCCAGAUCCUUAACCCACUGAGCAAGACCGGGGAUCAAAUCCACAUCCAGAUCCUUAACCCACUGAGCAAGACCAGGGAUCAAACCCACAUCCUCAUGGGUAUUAGUUGGGUUUGUUACCGCUGAGCCACAACGGGAACUCCCACAAAAUUUUUAUUGUUCACUGUUGGUCUUAGGUGGUUGAAGAUAAUUCUAGGUAAGAUGAUACAUACGGUUUUGAGUAUUAAGUAUUUAGACAUCAACUUUGAAGUAUAUGAUUUCUUUGAAGUACAGUAUUGCUUUUAAACACAAAUGUUUUAUAUAGAAUCAGUUUUUGGCUAUAAAAACUUGGAGUAUAUUACUCCAUUGUGUAAGAGGAAAUUGACAUGUAUAUCUCAUUUUGUAUAAUACAAAUAAAUCUAGCUUUUUAUAUCAUACUUACAUAUUUUUCUGGCUACUGCUUCUGCUUUUCUGAUGGUAAUACUAAAUUUGGUGGUGUGGUUGGACAUUUUCUUUUAAACACUAUAUAAUCCAAAAAUUUUUUUUCUAUGUGUUCUAAAUAUUUUUUAAAAGUAAAAAGAUUCAUGUAGAAGUACCUAUCUUAAUCUUCCUGCUUUUAAUUUAUUUUGUAUUUUUAGGUAUUUCUGUGUUGUCUCCUGAGUGAGGUUGUCUUGCUCCAAUUAUUGGGCCACCUUCCCCAUUAAAAUGUGGAUAUCUCUUCUCUACACAUUACCUCUGUGAUUUGGAUUGGAAAAGGCUGCUUUUCUUUUCGUUCCACCUUCUCAGAUUCAACACAGAGAAGCUCCUGGGAUGCAUUCAUCCUGCCAACUUCUCCAGGAAAAAAGAGGCAACUGACAUGCAUCUUCUGCUGCUCUUUGCUUAAUCACAAAGAAAUUAUUUGACAUGCUAAAGGCCGGUACCUAAUUUAAAGCAGGUGCUUAAAUGGUGAUAUCUGUGAGUUCUUUACAUUUUGUUCCAAACAAGAAAACUAAAUAAAUAGCAAGUAUGGAUGACAUGAGGGUUUUUUUUUUUUAAUGUCUUCCAGUUUUUGUCACCAUCAUGAUACGUACGCAUAGUUGAGACUGCAGCAGUAGAUUCCAAAUUAUGCGUUCUAAUUUGAAAUGAGAUGCUUUAAAAAUUACACAUAUCUAAAUCCUGGCUCAUCCUCUGACAUGGAUUUACUAGAUAAGAACAAAGGUCCAAUUUCGCAAUAAAACCUUUGAUGUCAUAAAGAAACAUAAAGACAAGAUAUCACAAGGUUAAUUUCAUAUGUGAAUAGACCAUCUCAACUAUAAAUACACAUUUUUACACGUGUAAAUCCACAUUUUUGGCUGAUAAGAGGGAUUUUCUCCUAAAGAAGGAAGCUGUGCUGACUUCUUUCUUAGAAGUCUUUGGAUACUUGGUAUUUUUAAAUUUUUUUUUUCCAUUCUGCUAAGGAAAGACCACAAUGUUUAGAUGGUAACCCUAUUGAAUGCCUGCUUGCGUUUAGUGAAAGGUUGGUAAAAGGAAACAAAACAGUUUUGAGUCCAGUGAUGGAACCCUCUUCACCUUCCUAGGAUGAGAGACUACUGUAUUGCAGAUUACUUCAUUCACUUUUUGGACAUUAUAUAGCACUUGAGACUUGGUUUUACAUGCUGCUGAGGCUGGAAGAAAAGUGGCAUAAGUGGUUUUUCUGUUCAGAAGAUGUGAUGGACCCUACAGUAUGACCUGCCUUCAACUUUGGACCUAGAGGAGUGGCAGAAAAAAUGAUGACAGUCUUCAUACUAUUUCUUUCUCCUAAGGAAAAAAAGUGAAAAUGCUUUAUGCAGCUCCAUCUCACUUUAUGGCACUUCACAUUCUACAGCUCUGUUUUCUGUAAAAGCAUAAAUGACUUCUUUCCUUUGACCCGGGAUAGGUUCUUGGGUGUUUGAUUUAUUUUUUUCUAGGCAAAUAGGUGUAAUGUUCGGCUGAAAAGGCUGGGACUCAGGUAACUUUCCCUAGUUGGAAAUGAACUUUCUAAUGGGCCUCAGAAGAAAUGUUAGGAGGGUCAGUGUAAAUUUAGAAGAAAAUCAGGGUAUGAAAAAAAACACUUAAACAAGAAAAAUAGUUCUAAUAAAUAAUAGUUUCCUCUCUGUUGAAACAUACUAUCUGAUGAAUGGACUAUCGCGUAAAGCUGUCCUUGCUUCCACAUCAACAAAGGACCGUUGUAUGAUUGGCCAGGUUUUUACAUAAGAAGAAUGACACCUUAAAUUAUAAGUCCUUGUGAGUAGAGAAAGAAUUUAAAGCUACUUAGAAGAAAUUACGAACAAGUCAUCUCAGAUCAUCUUUGUAAUAGAGGGAACGCCCCCAGGGCCAUACAUGCUGUGCUGCUGAAAUCUUGGGGAAGAUUUACCAGAAUUUGAGGGUAGUAGAAAUAGCCAAAAAUGUGAAAUACUGAGCACUCUUAAUGAUUAGUUAAGUUGGUCAACCAACUUGAAUUGGCAUUAAGAAAGCGUUUUAGUAAAAUAAAUAAUACAGAUAAAGCCUAAUUUCCUUUAAUUGAGGGCAAUUAUUGAGUAGUAAAGCACAGUAGAAGUAAUUUUGGAUAAAGGUAACUUAAAUUUUUCUGUAAGUAACUUCUCAGCCAUUUCCUGAUGUUUUCUUUCAGUAUUUUAGAAUCAUUAAAGACAAUGGAAACCUCCACACAUGAAUUCCAUUGCUGUGUUGAGCUUGUCAUAUAUAUUACCAUGGAGAAUUUGCAUCUUUACAGUUGUCUGUUAUCCAUCUUACCCAUGUUUGGGGGCAACUUUUUGGCAGGAGAUAGAGUCCCUGUACUAUUAGCAACAGUGAAACCGUCUCUACUUGUUUGAAUAUAUGUAUGUACCAGACUCAGCUUCUCCAGUUGCUUUAUAUAUUUUUGUUUCACAGUUAAGAGAAUGACUGUUUAAUGCUCUCUUUCAAGUUGUUUCUGCAUUUUCUAUGAUUUUCACCAGAUGGCAUUUAGCGCAAUGGGUAUAUUCCAGUUGUGCUUACCUAGCGUUUGCUUACAUCUACAUUGUUUUUUUCUGGUCUAUUUUUGGUUCCCUUCUUGAUGGCAAAGCUAUAAUUUUAGGCAGGACUGUGCCUCAGUCUAUAGCUGUGCCUACUUCCUUUACUCAUCCAUGUUAGCUGGCAGUUUUCUUUUAAAAAGUUGAACAAAAACGGGAUAUGUGCAAUAGAAAUAUAUAUAUGUAUAUUUUAAUACUUGUGGACAAAUGUUACAAGUUGUUUAAGAACAACAAAAUCACCAAUGUCUUCCAUUUUGAGAUGUGUAUAGUUUUGUAAGCAUUAGUGCUUGGUAGCAUAUUGUAGUGCCAUGUUAGGGGUUAGUGCAUGAGCCUAGUAAUAAUUUAAACUUCAGGAUGAAUUAUUGAUAAUAACUAAUAGUGUAAAAAGAGUGGAAAAUCUAGAUCUUUUCUUUUCUCAUAAAUAUCUGAAUCUGUGAUAUUCUCCCUGGGGAAAAGAGCUUAAGGCCAAAAAGACUCAUUUAUGAAUAGAAAUGUGGGGUCACAAUGUGAAAUACUGUCUUUGAGGAUAUUUGAGCUUUUUAUGAGUAGCUGGAAACCAGCUGCCUUUAUGUCUUACAAAACCUUAAUUCAAAAUGAGGCCCCAUUUCAUGACUCUGCUCUCUGAGUUUGAAGUCAGAUUGUUCUGGCAUUGUUUUCACGUUGUCUUCUAGGUUUAUUAUGUUCCCAUUCCUUUUGCAUCAGAUUAUAUUUUGCAUGUCUUACUGAGAUGCUGUGUUAAUUGCUCGAGUGCUUUUCUAAUCUGCAGACCAUUUAUGUUUCCUGUCUGCGGUGUGCUAUGUGUUAAUGGAAGAACUCUGGUCAGUGUCUUAGAUUAAUUUUUCACAGGCAUUUCCUGUUUCUAAAUCUGCUGAAUUGUGUACUGUUGCGAUUCCAGACCUUUUCAUGAGAAUCAGAAACAUUGUUAAAUGGAGCCUGCCUAGAUUGCUGUGUAUUAACUAACUCUGCUUGGUUAUAGUAAAUUGCCUCAGAUAGCUUUCACAUUUUUCUACUUUCCUUGUAGAAAUAAAAGUUGUUUUGUUCUGAAAGCAAAGAUAUUCCUACCUCUAAAAAGCUUUCUUGAGAACUCUGAAACAGUAGUUUUCUAGGGUGAUUUUUAAAUUUCAGUAUUAGGAGAGUCUAGAAUUUAUUGACAUAGAUUCUACAGUUAGUAUGAUAGGAAAGGCAAAACUUUUUUUAAAUUAUUUUAUUGGAGUAUAGUUGACUUAAAUGUCAUGUUAGCUUCAGGUUACAGCAAAGUGAAUCAUUUAUGCAAAACUUUUUUAAUGUGGUGUGUCACAUGUGCAGAAGUAGGCUUAAACAAAUUGACUCUUGGGCAACAGAUCUCCAGGGACCCAGGUUUAGAUUCUCAUGGUGUACUUAAAGUAAUUGUACUCUUGGUUUCAAGUAGUGUAGUGCCUGGGAGACUCCAUUUCUGAAAACCAUUUAAACAUUUUUGAAAAAUACCUCUGAAAAGGUAAUGAAUGCAAAAUAGCACAGUAUAUAGGAAAGGAUGUUUCUUGUUGAAAAAAAAAAAAGCCAUAAAACAAACUAAUAAUUUUCAAGAGGUAGAAUUUUAGUAGCAAUAACAGUUUUGCAUGUCACGUUAGAUUGUAUAGUAGACUACUGCUUGAGUUUGUGAGGCUCUGAUCAACAGAGUUCCAUGAAAGGAAAACGAUGUUCUAGGUAAAGAGUAUAUAAAAGGUACUUUCUCUUAAAAAUAUGAAUGUGUGAAAUGUCAUUAUGUGAGAAAUAGCAUCUUUUGUGUAAGUUAAGGUUAAAACCGUAUUUGUUUCCUAGAGCAGAGGGGUAGCGCCAUUGAAUGAAACUUUUCUAAUGCUUAACCUGGAAACAAAUGUGCUGCUACUGAUGUAGUCCCACUGAAGCUCAUCAUGUAGGGAUUUUGCUUCUGAUGUUUAUUUAGCAACAGGCAUUUAUAAAAUGACAUACUCUUUGCUUUGUCACCUCAUCUUUCUCCAUUAGUUUCCUGGGUGUGUAUAUAGUUAGGAUUUUUAAAAGGAAAAAAAAAAAAAAAAAAAAAAA